rnacentral:rRNA from 1 species
GAUGAACGCUGGCGGCGUGCCUAAUACAUGCAAGUCGAGCGAACAGACGAGGUGCUUGCUCCUCUGACGUUAGCGGCGGACGGGUGAGUAACACGUGGAUAACCUACCUAUAAGACUGGGACAACUUCGGGAAACCGGAGCUAAUACCGGAUAAAAUAUUUAACCGCAUGGUUCAAGAGUGAAAGACGGUUUUGCUGUCCCUAAUAGAGAUAUCCCCGUCGCAUUAGCUAGUUGGUAAGGAAACGGCUUACCAAGGCGACGAUGCGUAGCCGACCUGAGAGGGUGAUCGGCCACACUGGAACUGAGACACGGUCCAGACUCCUACGGGAGGCAGCAGUAGGGAAUCUUCGGCAAUGGGCGAAAGCCUGACGGAGCAACGCCGCGUGAGUGAUGAAGGUCUUCGGAUCGUAAAACUCUGUUAUUAGGAAAGAACAGAUGUGUAAGUAAAUAUGCACGUCUUGACGGUACCUAAUCAGAAAGCCACGGCUAACUACGUG